UACGUAGGGUGCGAGCGUUAAUCGGAAUUACUGGGCGUAAAGCGUGCGCAGGCGGUUUCGUAAGACAGAUGUGAAAUCCCCGGGCUUAACCUGGGAACUGCGUUUGUGACUGCGAGACUUGAGUGCGGCAGAGGGGGGUGGAAUUCCGCGUGUAGCAGUGAAAUGCGUAGAUAUGCGGAGGAACACCGAUGGCGAAGGCAAUCCCCUGGGCCUGCACUGACGCUCAUGCACGAAAGCGUGGGGAGCAAAC
rnacentral:rRNA from 1 species